UACGUAGGGCGCAAGCGUUGUCCGGAAUUAUUGGGCGUAAAGAGCUCGUAGGCGGCCUGUUGCGUCCGCUGUGAAAUCCCGGGGCUCAACCCCGGGCCUGCAGUGGAUACGGGCUGGCUGGAGGCAGGCAGGGGAGGACGGAAUUCCUGGUGUAGCGGUGAAAUGCGCAGAUAUCAGGAGGAACACCGGUGGCGAAGGCGGUUCUCUGGGCCUGUUCUGACGCUGAGGAGCGAAAGCGUGGGGAGCGAACAGG
rnacentral:rRNA from 1 species